AGUGAACGCUGGCGGUAGGCCUAACACAUGCAAGUCGAACGGCAGCACAGUAAGAGCUUGCUCUUACGGGUGGCGAGUGGCGGACGGGUGAGGAAUACAUCGGAAUCUACUUUUUCGUGGGGGAUAACGUAGGGAAACUUACGCUAAUACCGCAUACGAUCUACGGGUGAAAGCAGGGGAUCUUCGGACCUUGCGCGAUUGAAUGAGCCGAUGUCGGAUUAGCUAGUUGGCGGGGUAAAGGCCCACCAAGGCGACGAUACGUAGCUGGUCUGAGAGGAUGAUCAGCCACACUGGAACUGAGACACGGUCCAGACUCCUACGGGAGGCAGCAGUGGGGAAUAUUGGGCAAUGGGCGCAAGCCUGAUCCAGCCAUACCGCGUGGGUGAAGAAGGCCUUCGGGUUGUAAAGCCCUUUUGUUGGGAAAGAAAAGCAGCAGGUUAAUACCCCGCUGUUCUGACGGUACCCAAAGAAUAAGCACCGGCUAACUUCGUG
rnacentral:rRNA from 1 species